GGCAAAAUGCAGCAUCUUGCCAGUCACUCCUUGGGGGUAGGAAGCUCCUGGGAGGAACUUGCAGAGCAGCAGAGCUUGGCUUUGCGAUAACUUGUUAGCAAGUAUUUGCCCUUUGAUAUUUCUUCAUUUUCUCAUGUCACCCUUUUGCAGAUCUCCAAGCCUCUCCAUGACAAUCUGCACUCCCUAGUAGAAGCUGCUGCACAUCUUGGCAUGGAUGACAACAAAGUUCUCACUUGUCUGGAGCAGAUGAUGGCAAAAGUUGGUCGCUGUGGAAGCAUGAUCUGUCUGCCCUAUCCAGGGACAGAAGAGAACCUCUUUGAGCCUUAUGUGUACAAAGCUAUGCCAGCUGACUUGGCCAAAUGGAACACCUCAGAAGUACCUCCUUGACCCUUGUAUAGCCUUGCCUUCCAGCAGUACAGUGCAGGUGGGUCAAUUAUGGCAUAAGCCACAAUGGCAUACGGAUGAAUUUAGUUAAGGUAUCGAGACUAGGGCUUGGGGAAAUUUGAUGCAGACUUAGAAAAACACUUUAUGAUGUAAAACAAGGGUGGUGAUGCUACUUUUCUUAACCUUCACUUAACUUGCAGCUGCUGUGAAGCACACUUGGAUGAAAUAAGCAAUCAGAGUUCUUCCUUAAAAGUCUGAGGUUUCAAUGUACUUUGCACCAAAAGGUACAAUGAAAAAGGUCAUGGAAUUUCAGCUUGCUUUUCAGCAAAAGCUACGCAGAAUUUUUGUUGUUGGAUCCUCUCGGCCAAUGCCUGGAUGAACUGAGUUCAUUAAGAAACCUUUAACUAACUCAUCUGAACUGACAAAUCAAAUAUCUUUCUUGCCAAGUCCUUGUGAAAUAUCAGAAAGGCUGUACCAUAUGACUGGUUAGCUUCUUGUUUAUAUCUUGUUUUGUUGGAUUAUUUGAGCUAUUGAAAACUAACCGGAGACGGUGUACUGUGCCACUGCAGAUCACUGUGUAAUUUUUGCCUUAGCACUAGCUACAUGGAGACUCAUCUGAAAUUUGUAAGGCAGCAGCACAUAACCAGAUUUUGUUGUUAUUGCUAUUGUUAUGUAAUUGUUAUUGACAAUUUUUUGUAGAAAAGCCAUGUUUUUCACAGCUCUCGAGUGUGGAAAAUAAAUCAUAGCAGAUUCCUUCUCUUCUACUAUUC
rnacentral:lncRNA from 1 species